rnacentral:rRNA from 1 species
UACAGAGGGGGCAAGCGUUGUUCGGAAUUACUGGGCGUAAAGGGCGCGUAGGCGGCCUGCUAAGUCGAACGUGAAAUCCCCGGGCUCAACCCGGGAACUGCGUCCGAUACUGGCAGGCUUGAAUCCGGGAGAGGGAUGUGGAAUUCCAGGUGUAGCGGUGAAAUGCGUAGAUAUCUGGAGGAACACCGGUGGCGAAGGCGGCAUCCUGGACCGGUAUUGACGCUGAUGCGCGAAAGCCAGGGGAGCGAACAGG